rnacentral:rRNA from 1 species
AACGCAUUUAAAGUGCCCCCCUGGGGAAGUACGCCCGCAAGGCUAAAAUUCAAAGGAAUUGACGGGGGCCCGCACAAGCAGCGCAGCAUGUGGUUAAUUUGAAGCAACGCGAAAGAACCUUACCUGGGCUUGACAUAUUGGUGGAAAACCGGGGAAACACGGUCCCUCUUCGGAGCCGGCUAUACAGGUGGUGCAUGGCUGUCGUCAGCUCGUGUCGUGAGAUGUUGGGUUAAGUCCCCGCAAACGAGCGCAACCCUCGUCGUAUGUUGCCAGCAUUUAGUUGGGGACUCAUACGAGACUGCCGGUGACAAACCGGAGGAAGGCGGGGACGACGUCAAGUCAUCAUGCCCCUUAUGUCCAGGGCUACACACGUGCUACAUUGGCGCGUACAGAGGGCUGCGAUACCGUGAGGUGGAGCGAAUCCCUUAAAGCGCGUCUCGGUUCGGAUUGUAGGCUGAAACUCGCCUACAUGAAGGCGGAGUUGCUAGUAAUCGCAGAUCAGAACGCUGCGGUGAAUACGUUCCCGGGCCUUGUACACGCCGCCCGUCACACCACGGGAGUGAGCAACACCCGAAGCCGGUGGCCUAACCCGCAAGGGAGGGAUCUGUCGAAUGUGGGGCUCGGGAGAGAGAGAAGUCGUAACAAUGUAUUCUGUGAUGGAGUGGAGAACCGCCA